UGCCUGUCGGGCACGGCAGGGUCUGGGAGUGAGGGUGGGGUGCACAGUGCACGCGUGUGCACACACGUGUGUGCCUGUGCCCAUGUGUACACGGGCAUGUGCGUGCGUGCCUAUGCCCGUGUGUGCACGUGCAUGUGUGUGUCUGCGUGCAUGCACCCAAGUCAAGACCCCCACGGGGCCUCCAGCCACACUUACCUGAGCUCACGCAUGGCGUGGUGAUCUUCAUCCUGGGGUCCUCGCAGUCUGCCCACCCAGAAAAAAGUGAAACCAUUAUGCUCCUACCUUAGAAAGUCUGCUGGUGCAGAAACUCUGACACCAGGGGUAACCACCUUCUCCCUUCUGGGGAGCCUGUUCAAAGCCCCAGGACUGGACGCUGCCACGGGCCAGGGGCUCCACAGGCCUGGGACUGACCCAGCUGUCUCACCCCUCCUCUCUCCUGGAACCUUCCAGAUCCAGGUGUAAACCCCCACUCCCCCGCCCCCCCCACGUGCUUUGGGACUGAGGAGUCUCGGUCCACCCCAGCUCCUCUCCCUGCUGGGCUGCCGCUCCAGAGCUGCCUCUGCCUUUCCAGGGAGAUGGGCUCUGGGCCCCAUAGCAGCUUUCCUGCAACUUCCUGUGUCCUCAUGAGGAGCUUCUGAUUCAGCGUAUCUGGGGCCGGUCCUGGGAAGCUGCAUUUCUGACAAGUUCCCAGUGGUUUGGUGCCACUGACCACUCCUCCAGGGAAAGCCGGACAGCUACCUGCGGCCCGAAGGCAGCACAGGAGCCGUUGGGGCCACUCUGCUCCUCCCGCAUCACCGUCCUCCCCGCGGCCGGAGCCUCACCCGCUUGUGAUGGUGCCUCAGUUUGGACAGAAACUCGAACUUGACACACAGACGUUCAUUGGUGUUCAGCUGCAGGACAGACAGCUCCGCCCCCUCCAGGGAGAUAAAGAUUUUAGGCCAAAGGAAGGCCUUUCUUGAAGGAUCGUGGGAUGAGAAGAUGUCAUCACGGGGUAAAGUCAAAACCACUGACAAAGGGUUCGUGUGAGGAGGUGGCUCCUGUCACUAAGCGUGGACCCUUACGUCUGAGCCCAGUCCUGAGCCUGGUGUGGGGCCAGAGGGUCUCGCCUGUGGAGGCCCUGGUGCUGGGCAGCGCAGCACCCCCAGGGCCCAGGGAUGCCCACUCACCAUCUGUCUGCAGCGUCCACUCAAUGUGGACCACGGGGAGGAGGUGUCCGUGCUGCGUGUGGACAAAGCGCAGUUGGGUCUGCAUGUCUUUGGGGGACGAGGGGGUCAGGCUUCGGGGUUGGAUCCAGCUGUCAUCCAGGCAGGUACCUGGGAGCCAGGAAGAGCACAAAUCAGACUCGCAGGCUCAGGAGGAAUGGGAUGCGGUGCACAAGCAAGAUGCCCCGGCCGGGGAGCCAGGCUUCCCCAGGCAGGCCGGGGCCAGGCGCGCCGGCCUCUCAGCCUCACCCCCGCCCGCUUUCCCGAUGCUGGUCUGGGUCACAAGGAAGCUCAAGGGGAGAUGGCCGAGCGCACCCUCGCUGGGAGGCGGGAGGCAGCCGGAGAGCGGCUCUGUUUUUACAGGCUGGACCCCUAACUGGCCCAGACACCUGACCCGCACAUCUUUCUUGAUUAAAAGGCCAAACAAAGCCGCCAGCACGGCCGUCUCCCCCGUCACAGCGACAGCUCCGGCAGAGUUGUCUGACAGAUUCACCAGGGCGGCACCCCAGGAGACUCCCCCCAACCCAAGUGACAGCCCGGCUCCUCCCGUCCUGACCACCGAUGGCGAGCGUUCUGGGCGGGGGCGUGGGGGCUCGUUGCCAAGCCCCUGGGGUCCUCCUGCUGGGGGCCGCUCAGCGCGGGGUCAGCACUUCAUCACCCAGGCAGCCGAGGAGCGUGAGCACAGAGGACUUACUGUUCUUGACGGCGCAGCUGAGCUCCUGUGGGGGGAAGACGCGGGCGGUCACCGUCGGCAAAGAGCUUCCGUGCGCGCGGGCCGGGCUCCGGCGUCCCCAGGGUCACCCCCUCCCUCUCGCCUUUGGGGGCCCCUCUCGGAGGGACCACACCCUCCUCAUGCUUUCUGCCGACUGAGGGGAAGUGGGUGAGAAGUGGGCACAGCACAGGCAGAGUGGGACUGGAGGAGAUGUUGGGAGUCAGGGACUGUCUACCUCCCUACACUGAGGUUUCCCCUGGGCGCCCCAGAAACACCCCCAAAUCUCUUGAGGCUUCUGGGCAACAAGACGGGGACAAAACCUGCCACUUCCCCCCACCCCUCCGUCACAGGAUCAGUCACAGAAAACUCACCCCGUGGGCACAGACUUUACAGAUAACAUCUCACCCGUGAUUACGGACUCCCCUGGGGCUGCCUCGCACUCCGGCAGUCCCCCUGGCUCUCUGACCCCCGGGGGAGAUCUGGGCCGCGUUCAGAAGUCCCCGUUACGAGCACAGGGACACCUUUGGCCAGGGAACUCUACGCUGGAGAACAGUGCCCCCGGGGCAGGUCGCCUCCUCACCACUUAACAGCCACGGGACGCCAGGCAACACACCUGACCCUGCCCAGCCUGGACGUCUGCAGGUGCAGAGUCACAGCCCUGACGCCAGCCCCAGAGCACCGCUGGGAAUCAACCGACAGAGACACGAGCAGAGACCCCGGCCACGGAGCCUCGCGUUCGCGUCCGGCGCAGCCGUACCACCCGGAUCCCGAGCAAUGGAACGUGUGUUAGUGAUGCACCCGAGUGAGCUGCUGCCCUGUCAGACAGGCAGCCCGCCAGAAGCCCAGGAAAAGGACCAGGAAUCCCGCAGGCCCCGGCGCCUGGGGGGCCAGCUCACUGCCGGGACCAGAGACGGCCUCGCCCAGUGUCUGACACGGAGGCUGCUCUGUAACCCCCGGCUCCCUGCUUUGCGGCUGGGGUGCAGGGAGCACCUCGUGAAGGGAGCGCUCGUUGUAGGGGGCCCCCACACACUCAGGUUUGGUGGGGAGCAAGGCGACAACUCGGGGGCACAGGGACCAAGCACCUCCCGUGGGGCCAAGUCAAGGCGGCCAGAGUGACGGUUCCGAGGACGGCAGUGGGGCUCAGUGUGUGUGCGGACAGCGCCCCACGGAGCAGGAGGCAGAGGAGGAGACGGGAUGCCGCCAGGCCUCACUCACAGGCCGGGUGCUGGUGGCAUCCUCGUGCUCGCUCCAGGGCUGGCCCAGCCAUGCCGGGCCACCCUACCCUGCCUUUCUGGGACGUCAUUCAUGAGCCCCCGGGGUCCAGACCUUCUGCACCCCGUCCAGCUCCUGGUGAUGAUUCUCACUCCCUGUCUCGGCCCCGCCGGGCACACGUCCAACAACCCGUCCAGCUGCUCUGCUCUCUCUACGAGGGCCACUGUUUCCUGGGAGGAGGGGGGAUGAGCUCCCACCAACACCUCGUUCCUCCCCCUCCUGGAGAGGACAGAGUGGACCGGCGCGCGGGGGACAGAAACCGGUUCUUUCGCCCUGAGAUGGGAGCUCUUGCAGAAAAGGAAACUGAUGCCCGCUUUGGGCAACUCCCUGUUACCCACCAGUAGCUCCUCCAGGACCACCGCAGAAUGGCGAGCAGGACAGAAGGCUCUGGUCUUCGCGUGACCAAGGGGAGCUGGGAGGGUCUGGGAACGCAGGCGGCAGGGGGCGCCUGUCCUCUAACUCCUGUGACCGACGCAGACGGCUCCCCGUCUGGCUCCCCACUUGGCACUGUUUGAGGUCUUGGUCUUCGAGACCCAUCGCUGUACACACGUUAUUUUCCUUCUAUUACCAUUUUGCUUAUCUUUUUAAUUAAAACAGCCUCUGAACUUUGUCAAA